UCUUACCACCAUACCACCUUGAACACAUCCAAUGCAUUGCAUGCUGGAAGCUAAACAGGAUUAGACCUGGUUAGUUUUUCAGUGGGAGAUUACCAAGGAAUGCCAGGGAUCUCCAGGUAGGAC
rnacentral:rRNA from 11 species